AUUGAACGCUGGCGGCAUGCUUUACACAUGCAAGUCGAACGGGGUGAAGGGGCAACUCUUCAUUCAGUGGCGAACGGGUGAGUAAUGCAUCGGAACGUACCUCGUAGUGGGGGAUAACUCGGCGAAAGCCGUGCUAAUACCGCAUAUGCUCUACGGAGGAAAGCAGGGGACCUUAACGGGCCUUGUGCUAUGGGAGCGGCCGAUGUCCGAUUAGCUAGUUGGUGGGGUAAUGGCCACCAAGGCGACGAUCGGUAGCUGGUCUGAGAGGAUGAUCAGCCACACUGGGACUGAGACACGGCCCAGACUCCUACGGGAGGCAGCAGGUGGGGAAUUUUGGACAAUGGGGGCGAACCCUGAUCCAGCCAUGCCGCGUGCGGGAAGAAGGCC
rnacentral:rRNA from 1 species